CAGACAUUUAGUUUAAUUGGGUUAUAUUGUGGAAUCAGACGUUUUAUCAGAAUUAUUCGAAUAUCUUGUAAAGAAAAGAGGAAAAUUGGAGAUAUAAUUACAAAAAUUGAGGAGUUAUUCACAACUGUGAAGGAAAAGGUUAAACAAGUGUUCCAUGACACUUUUGACAGGAUCCUUAUUUCAGUGGUUAAUUUUUUGGACAAUCUAUCUAAAAGUGUGAGGUCAUAUGCCGAAAAGAGAAAGAAAGAGUGGGAG